UACGGAGGGUGCAAGCGUUAUCCGGAUUUACUGGGUUUAAAGGGAGCGUAGGUGGAUUUAUAAGUCAGUGGUGAAAGCCCUUAGCUUAACUUUGGAAUUGCCAUUGAUACUGUAAAUCUUGAGUAUGGUUGAAGUAGACGGAAUAUAACAUGUAGCGGUGAAAUGCUUAGAUAUGUUAUAGAACUCCGAUUGCGAAGGCAGUUUACUAAGCCAUUACUGACACUGAGGCUCGAAAGCGUGGGGAUCAAACAGG
rnacentral:rRNA from 1 species